AUACAAGGUUUUAUGUACAAGCAGCCAAUGGUAGAUAUCCUGUUACCAAAUGUUGUGGUUAAGAAGUUGUUCUUAGAAGGUUCCAGGUUUGAUUUUUGGCCUGUAGGCUAGUUAUCCCUCUGAUAAAAUUAUUAGAUAGUACCUUUCAAUGAGACUUCACAAUUUAAUAAAGCAAUUUUGCUUUUCUUUUGUAUGGGUAUGUAACAUGGCCUCUUUGACGGAUGCUUAUAAAAUACAUGUGUUUUAAAACAAUGUGUUCAGGAAUAUAUUUGAAUUUAAGAAAGGAGUGAUCAGUCUGUGAUGUUGCAUUAGAAGGCACUUACAUGGGUUGUGUAAGUCACCUGGAGGUGUUAUAGUAAUGUAUAAUCUAGGAGGCUUCAGUGUUUUGGAUGUGUAGCUAGGACAGAAUGUUUGAGAAACUUCUUGGAAAAUGACAACUUAGAAGACUGAUAAGAGGAUUGGAGAACAUUAAGACGUUACUCCACUGUAAGUUCAUUCAGCUGCCACGUCGAUAUUGUUGAAUCAGUACAAACGUGAUGGCCUCUGCUGACAAGAUGUUCAUACCUAAGGAAAGAUGGUUUGAAAAUGUGGCAGUAAUCAAAUCUGCAUAGCAAGGUAUGUCCUCAGGUUGUGAACCAAGAUGGCCUCUAAAUAAGUGGAUUGCUUGAAUAUACUGAGUAAGAUGCAGACAAAUGUAGCUGUCUUCUGGGUUGUAGCAUUGUGUAGUCUAGUAGAAGAUUGCCACCUUUUCAGAGGUCCUUGCUACCUCCAUCAUCAGGGUGUUGGGAAAGGGUCAUUGUGGAACAUUUGUAUCCAGAAUUUGAAACAAGUGUAGAAUUAAGGUCAUUUUUCAUAACAUAUUUUGUGUUCUAUAUGCAAUUUCUCUUGGUAUUACCAUCAUUGUGAACUGUGCAGCAGUAGGUUUAAUAUCUUGUUCCUAAAUCCUCUUAGAUGUAUUACUGAUAUGAUAGUUAAAUCAGAUUAUGCAUCAUGUUCUAAUUAUUCUAUAGAAAUAAAUCAUUUUACCAUUU